CCCGCCCCAGCCGGGCGAUGCGGGGCCCGGCCUGCGCGGCCGGUAUCUCGGCGAGGUCCUCGACGUGGUGGACGCUCAGCCGGCCGGGCGAGAC
rnacentral:tRNA from 1 species